rnacentral:rRNA from 1 species
GCGGCAGGCUUAACACAUGCAAGUCGAGCGGGGGAAGGUAGCUUGCUACCGGACCUAGCGGCGGACGGGUGAGUAAUGCUUAGGAAUCUACCCAGAUCUACGGAACAACAGUUGGAAACGACUGCUAAUACCGUAUACGCCCUACGGGGGAAAGAUUUAUCGGAUUUGGAUGAGCCCGCGUUGGAUUAGCUAGUUGGUGGGGUAAUGGCCUACCAAGGCGACGAUCCAUAGCUGGUCUGAGAGGAUGAUCAGCCACACUGGGACUGAGACACGGCCCAGACUCCUACGGGAGGCAGCAGUGGGGAAUAUUGGACAAUGGGCGCAAGCCUGAUCCAGCAAUGCCGCGUGAGUGAUGAAGGCCUUAGGGUUGUAAAGCUCUUUUACCCGGGAAGAUAAUGACUGUACCGGGAGAAUAAGCCCCGGCUAACUCCGUGCCAGCAGCCGCAGUAA